UGGACCUGGUGACCAUAAACGGCAAAGACGAAGAGGACUUUCUCCUUGAAGUGGUCCGUGCAAAGAAUUUGGAUGUAGCCUGGAUUGGUUUUUCUCCCAACAACACGAAGGAGAUCUCUACACGGGUGAAGAGAGGUGUGGGGCCAGAAGAAGGUGCUCAGGAAGAGGACUGUGCUAAGCUUACGGUAUACGAGACACCUGCAGUGAAAGAAGUAACCGGGAGACAAUGUGGGACAAAAAAAUACUGUAUUUGUGAAAAAUACCUGGAUGUCAAAUACAAUGUAAGCAAGAGAAACCGUUAACUGGUUCUUCUGAAAGGAUUCUACUUUUUAAAAUGGAGGGAACAACUGCUAGCUUCAACUCUUCCUUUUUAAAUGGAGGGAACGACUGCUAGCUUCAACUCUUCCUUUUUAAAUGGAGGGAACGACUGCUAGCUUCAACUCUUCCUUUUUAAAUGGAGGGAACGACUGCUAGCUUCAACUCUUCCUUUUUAAAUGGAGGGAACGACUGCUAGCUUCAACCUCUUCCUUUUUAAAAAUGGAGGGAACAACUGCUAGCUUCAACCUCUUCCUUUUUAAAAAUGGAGGGAACAACUGCUAGCUUCAACUCUUCCUUUUUAAAAUGGAGGGAACGACUGCUAGCUUCAACCUCUUCCUUUUAAAAAAUGGAGGGAACAACUGCUAGCUUCAACUCUUCCUUUUUAAAAUGGAGGGAACGACUGCUAGCUUCAACUCUUCCUUUUUAAAUGGAGGGAACGACUGCUAGCUUCAACUCUUCCUUUUUAAAUGGAGGGAACGACUGCUAGCUUCAACUCUUCCUUUUUAAAUGGAGGGAACGACUGCUAGCUUCAACUCUUCCUUUUUAAAUGGAGGGAACGACUGCUAGCUUCAACUCUUCCUUUUUAAAUGGAGGGAACGACUGCUAGCUUCAACUCUUCCUUUUAAAUGGAGGGAACGACUGCUAGCUUCAACUCUUCCUUUUUAAAUGGAGGGAACGACUGCUAGCUUCAACUCUUCCUUUUUAAAUGGAGGGAACGACUGCUAGCUUCAACUCUUCCUUUUUAAAUGGAGGGAACGACUGCUAGCUUCAACUCUUCCUUUUUAAAUGGAGGGAACGACUGCUAGCUUCAACUCUUCCUUUUUAAAUGGAGGGAACGACUGCUAGCUUCAACUCUUCCUUUUAAAUGGAGGGAACGACUGCUAGCUUCAACUCUUCCUUUUUAAAUGGAGGGAACGACUGCUAGCUUCAACUCUUCCUUUUUAAAUGCAGGGAACAACUGCAUUUUCCAAGAAGCAACUGUUAGUCAUUCUAGUUAGGUUGGUGAGGGUACACACACAGGCAAAACACACACGCAAAACACACACACACACACAGGCAAAACACACACGCAAAACACACACACACACACAGGCAAAACACACACCGUACACACAGGCAAAAC